rnacentral:lncRNA from 1 species
AGCUCUGAGUCCAGCCUGCAAACACCCCAAUAUCACUCUUCGCACAGAGAUACAGGCACUGUGACACUAAGCUGGAGGCAAGGUAUGUGGGGAGGCUGGCCUGGGGAAAUAAAGCUAUUUUUGGAUCCAAUAAAGCUUCCUAAAGCUGAGGCCACCUAAGAGGUAUCCGUCAAAUGCUUACCUUGUAUAGGAUUCUUCUGUGUAUUUUGGUCCAGUGGUCAGCAAGAGGCCGGGAGCUACAGAACUACCCAUCCAGGGCCCCAGGGAAGGUUUCUUCAUAAGGCCACCAAACGAGGAGAUGGAGGAAACCUCAAAUUCAUCUCCCCCAGGAAUUUGGAGUUAGGGUUUUUCAGAGUUUUGGAGUGGGCUGAAGCGUGGAGGUGGUUGAUGGGCGGAAGUGUGCGGGGUGAAGUCACGGGACAGGGAGAUGAAGAAGCUGGGUUCUCAUGCUCAUUCUCUUCCCCUGCGGGGGUCUUCAAACUGGUUGACAUCAGCUGUUUUGCUGGAAUUCAGGAUCUGAAAAAUAUCUUAAGCAAUUCUUUGUUUUUUUUUUUUUGAGACUGAGUUUCGCUCUUGUUGCCCAGGC